AGAAAGGAAACAAAAAAAAAGGAAAAAAAAAUAGUGACGAAAACCAAAUAUUUGUUAAGAAUUAUUUUUCUUAAGGCGGAUUUCCCUAAGUCAUGAAUAGAUUUACUAGUUAAUCAGGCGGUUUAUGUGAGAGAAUGUGUUUACACGUAUACGCAAACAACCACAACGCAUAUACGUAUAUGUUUAUAUGUGUAAUUAAAUUACUUGCAUUUAGAUGUUCUCAGAUAAAUUCAUUUUUAGUCUUUAGAAAAUGCUCUAUUUAAAUAAAAGAUGCCCGCCUUUCCCUUCCUAUCUCUCUUUCUCUUUCUCUUGUGUUUUAAUUAAUUCCGUGAAAAAUUUAUGAGAUUAUUGCAUCUGUCAGAAGAUGACGAUACAAUAAAUCUGUUAUAUCGUUAGUAACAUUCGGACCGUGUAAAUCUUUUCAUAUUAUUUCAGAUUAUUAAAGAUAGUUGUCUCUCUAUCCGCAUAUUGUUCAAGAAAAAGACGCGUUAAUAGAGUAGGGCAAACAUUCGAAGCAAUUGCGCUCGAUACUUGCUCUGUUUAGUUUUGAGAAGAGAGACAUGAAGAGUUUGCCAUAAAGUCUAUAUAGUAACUGAAAAAUUGAAGCCAUCUUAAGGAAGUCCUUAAAUGUUUCCAAUAUUUACGAAUAGCCCAAUUCCCUGAUAAUCUGUGUACCUAGAGAUAUCGAUUAAAAAUUUUUGCUUUGAUUUAUUGCCAUCUCCCGGCAAUAAGGAUUAAAUUAACUACAGUUGCUUUUUUCGCCCUUGAAACAAGUAAAAACAUUAUAGAUGGCUGCGGUCACCCAACAUUAAAUAUCUUACAUGGCAUCACUUAAUACAGUUACAUAGUAUAAACUGAAAAUAGAUAGCUUUUGGGCGGUAGCCGAAAAAUUGGACCGAUCCGGUCAUCGUUGGGCUAAAAGUUAAGUCUAGUAACAAAUUUCAAGACUGUGGGUUCUACGCAGACAUGCAAGACGGACAGACAAGUUUAAAUCAAUUCUGAAAGUGAAUCUAAAUCGAUAGGUACAACAGAAGUCAAUAUACCCUUAUGCCACAAGUGGUGUAGGGUGUAAAAAAGAAAAAUAAAUAAAAAAGCAAAUAAAGUUGCUGACAACCACCAUCGUAAUAAGGAGGUUACUGGUAAACAUUUCUUUGUUUAUAACUGAAGUAAAAAAAAAAAAAUUAUCACUUAGUAAACAUUGGGCAAUGAAUGCAUGUUUAGAUAACAAGAUACAUUUCUCGGUAGCUGACACCGGCGUAGUCGUUUGCUGUUGUUGAAGUGUGAUAAACCUGUCAACAUAUUUAAAUCUCCUCGAAAAUGAAUUUUUCUACAGACAACAUAAGCUAAUGAAAAAUAAAAAUAUUUUACCCCAUACUAAGAUGAACGAAGAUUUCAAGUUUUAAGAUAUCAUCAUCAUUAUCAUUUAAAGGCUUCUAU